rnacentral:rRNA from 1 species
UACGAAGGGGGCGAGCGUUGUUCGGAUUUACUGGGCGUAAAGGGCGCGUAGGCGGCGGGUCAAGUCGAGUGUGAAAGCCCCGGGCUCAACCUGGGAAUUGCGCUCGAGACUGGUCUGCUUGAGUUCGGGAGAGGAGAGUGGAAUUCCUGGUGUAGCGGUGAAAUGCGCAGAUAUCAGGAGGAACACCAAUGGCGAAGGCAGCUCGCUGGGACGGUACUGACGCUGAGACGCGAAAGCGUGGGGAGCAAACAGG